AGGGGUAGAGCUCAGUGGUAAAGCGUGUGUUUGGCAGGCACCAGGUCCUGGGUUCAAUCCCCAGUGCCCCUG
rnacentral:tRNA from 1 species